AUUGAACGCUGGCGGCAGGCCUAACACAUGCAAGUCGAGCGAGCGGCGGACGGGUGAGUAAUGUCUGGGAAACUGCCUGAUGGAGGGGGAUAACUACUGGAAACGGUAGCUAAUACCGCAUACCAUCAGAUGUGCCCAGAUGGGAUUAGCUAGUAGGUGGGGUAACGGCUCACCUAGGGGACGCUCCCUCGCUGGUCUGGGAGGAUGACCAGCGACACUGGAACUGAGACACGGUCCAAAGUCCUACGGGAGGCAGCAGUGGGGAGUAGUGCACAAGGGGCGCAAGCCUGAUGCAGCCAUGCCGAGUGUGUGAAGAAGGCCUUCGGGUUGUAAAGCACUUUCAGCGGGGAGGCGUUACCCGCAGAAGAAGCACCGGCUAACUCCGUGCCAGCAGCCGCGGUAAUUC
rnacentral:rRNA from 1 species